rnacentral:rRNA from 1 species
GGUGGAGCAUGUGGUUUAAUUCGACGCAACGCGAAGAACCUUACCUGGACUUGACAUCUGAGGAAUCCUUAUGAAAGUAGGGAGUGCCCUUCGGGGAGCCUCAAGACAGNUGCUGCAUGNCUGUCGUCAGCUCGUGUCGUGAGAUGUUGGGUUAAGUCCCGCAACGAGCGCAACCCCUAUCUUCAGUUACCAUCAUUAAGUUGGGGACUCUGGAGAUACUGCCCCGGUCAANGGGGAGGAAGGUGGGGAUGACGUCAAGUCCUCAUGGCCUUUAUGUCCAGGGCUACACACGUGCUACAAUGGUCGGUACAAAGGGUCGCAAGCCUGCGAAGGUGAGCCAAUCCCAUAAAGCCGAUCUCAGUUCGGAUUGGAGUCUGCAACUCGACUCCAUGAAGCUGGAAUCGCUAGUAAUCGUGGAUCAGCAUGCCACGGUGAAUACGUUCCCGGGCCUUGUACACACCGCCCGUCACACCAUGAGAGUUGGUUGUACCAGAAGUCGUUGGACCAACCCCGCAAGGGGGGGUAGGCGCCUAAGGUAUGGCUGAUAAUUGGGGUGAAGUCGUCCCAAGGUAGCCGUA